GUCUUAUUGAUUUAUAAUUUUAAGUCUAGCCUGCCCCCUGUAAAAUAAAUGGCCGCAGUAUUUUGACUGUGCUAAGGUAGCAUAAUCAUUAGUUUUUUAAUUGAAAGCUGGAAUGAAUGGUAUUAUGAAAAAAUAACUGUCUCUUUUAUAUAAUUAAAAUUUUAUUUUUAAGUAAAAAAGCUUAAAUUUGGUUAAAAGACGAGAAGACCCUAUAGAAUUUUAUUUAAAUUAAUUUUUAAUUUAUUAGUAAAAAGAAUUUAUUAAUUAAUUUAUAUUUAGUUGGGGUGAUUAGAAAAUUAAGUUAUCUUUUCUUUAUAAAACCAUUAAUAUAUGAUUUUAUGAUUCAUUUUUAUGAUUUAAGAAUAAGUUACCUUAGGGAUAACAGCGUAAUUUUUUUUUAAAGUUCUAAUUAAAAAAAAAGAUUGCGACCUCGAUGUUGGAUUAAAAU
rnacentral:rRNA from 1 species